UACAGAGACUGCGAGCGUUAUUCGGAUUCACUGGGCGUAAAGGGUGCGCAGGUGGCCAAGUGUGUUAGGCGUGAAAGCCCGGGGCUUAACCCCGGAAUUGCACCUAAAACUACUUGGCUAGAGCAUUGGAGAGGGGAGCAGAAUUCAUGGUGUAGCAGUGAAAUGCGUAGAUAUCAUGAGGAAUACCAGAGGCGAAGGCGGCUCCCUGGACAAUUGCUGACACUCAGGCACGAAAGCGUGGGGAGCAAAAGGG
rnacentral:rRNA from 1 species